rnacentral:rRNA from 1 species
UCAUGGCUCAGGAUGAACGCUAGCGGCAGGCCUAACACAUGCAAGUCGAGGGAGAAGCCCUUUCGGGGGCAGAAACCGGCGCACGGGUGCGUAACGCGUAUGCAACCUACCUUUCACAGGGGGAUAGCCCGAAGAAAUUUGGAUUAAUACCCCAUAAUAUUAUUGAAUGGCAUCAUUUGAUAAUUAAAACUGAGGUGGUGAAAGAUGGGCAUGCGUCCUAUUAGCUAGUUGGAGUGGUAACGGCACCCCAAGGCUACGAUAGGUAGGGGUCCUGAGAGGGAGAUCCCCCACACUGGUACUGAGACAGGGACCAGACUCCUACGGGAGGCAGCAGUGAGGAAUAUUGGUCAAUGGUCGGAAGACUGAACCAGCCAUGCCGCGUGCAGGAAGAAUGCCUUAUGGGUUGUAAACUGCUUUUAUAUGGGAAGAAUAAGGCGUACGUGUACGUUGAUGACGGUACCAUAUGAAUAAGCAUCGGCUAACUCCGUGCCAGCAGCCGCGGUAAUACGGAGGAUGCGAGCGUUAUUCGGAAUCAUUGGGUUUAAGGGGUCUGUAGGCGGGCUAUUAAGUCAGGGGUGAAAGGUUUCAGCUUAACUGAGAAAUUGCCUUUGAUACUGGUAGUCUUGAAUAUCUGUGAAGUUCUUGGAAUGUGUAGUGUAGCGGUGAAAUGCUUAGAUAUUACACAGAACACCGAUUGCGAAGGCAGGGGACUAACAGACAAUUGACGCUGAGAGACGAAAGCGUGGGGAGCGAACAGGAUUAGAUACCCUGGUAGUCCACGCUGUAAACGAUGGAUACUAGCUGUUUGGCGCAAGCUGAGUGGCUAAGCGAAAGUGAUAAGUAUCCCACCUGGGGAGUACGCACGCAAGUGUGAAACUCAAAGGAAUUGACGGGGGCCCGCACAAGCGGUGGAGCAUGUGGUUUAAUUCGAUGAUACGCGAGGAACCUUACCAAGGUUUAAAUGGAGACUGACAGGUGUAGAGAUACGCCCUUCUUCGGACAGUUUUCAAGGUGCUGCAUGGUUGUCGUCAGCUCGUGCCGUGAGGUGUCAGGUUAAGUCCUAUAACGAGCGCAACCCCUAUUGUUAGUUACCAGCACGUAAUGGUGGGGACUCUAGCAAGACUGCCGGUGUAAACCGUGAGGAAGGUGGGGAUGACGUCAAAUCAUCACGGCCCUUACAUCUUGGGCUACACACGUGCUACAAAUGGUCGUUACAGAGAGGCUAGCCACUGCGCGAGCUAGGAGCGAAUCUAUAAAGACGAAUCACCAGUUCGGAAUCGGAGUUCUGCAAACUCGACUCCGUGAAAGGCUGGAAUCGCUUAGUUAAUCGGAAUAUCAAGCCCUGAACCGGUAAAUUACGUUUCCCGGGCCCUUGCCCCCCCCCCCCGGCAAGAGGCGGAAUCGUUG